rnacentral:rRNA from 1 species
GUAGGUGGCAAGCGUUGUCCGGAAUUAUUGGGGCGUAAAGCGCGCGCAGGCGGUUCUUUAAGUCUGAUGUGAAAGCCCACGGGCUCAACCGUGGAGGGUCAUUGGAAACUGGAGAACUUGAGUACAGAAGAGGAAAGCGGAAUUCCACGUGUAGCGGUGAAAUGCGUAGAGAUGUGGAGGAACACCAGUGGCGAAGGCGGCUUUCUGGUCUGUAACUGACGCUGAGGCGCGAAAGCGUGGGGAGCAAACAGGAUUAGAUACCCUGGUAGUCCACGCCGUAAACGAUGAGUGCUAAGUGUUAGGGGGUUUCCGGCCCCUUAGUGCUGCAGCUAACGCAUUAAGCACUCCGCCUGGGGAGUACGGCCGCAAAGGCUG